AAUCUUUGGUGCGGCCAUUUCAGAAUCAACAUUUUGAAUCGUUCCCAGGCCUCAUAGAAACUUUCUCCUCCUAUCUAUCUAAAAACAAUAAUCUCUCUUCUUAGUUG
rfam:Gossypium hirsutum cultivar TM-1 unplaced genomic scaffold scaffold2503.1, whole genome shotgun sequence